rnacentral:rRNA from 1 species
AUUGAACGCUAGCGGGAUGCCUUACACAUGAAAGUCGAACGGAGUGGCGAACGGGUGAGUAAUGUAUCGGAACGUGCCCAGUAGCGGGGGAUAACUACGCGAAAGCGUAGGUAAUACCGCAUACUAGUAGAGCGGGCGAUAUCGGAUUAGCUAGUUGGUGGGGUAAAGGCUCACCCGGGGGACGAUCCGUAGCUGGUUUGAGAGGACGACCAGACAUAUGGGGACUGUGACACGGCCCAGACUCCUACGGGGGGCAGCAGUGGGGAAUUUUGGACAAUGGGGGAAACCCUGAUCCAGCCAGCCCGCGUGUGUGAUGAAGGCCUGCGGGUUGGAAAGCACUUUUGGCAGGAAAGCGGUACCUGCAGAAUAAGCACCGGAUAACUACGUGCCAGCAGCCGCGGUAAUAC